rnacentral:tRNA from 1 species
UUUCAGAAAAAAAAUAUCGUUGAAUUACAAAAUCAAUGCUUUAGUAAUUAAGCUAUUCUGAA